rnacentral:rRNA from 1 species
GACGAACGCUGGCGGCGUGCUUAACACAUGCAAGUCGAACGGAAAGGCCCUGCUUUUGUGGGGUGCUCGAGUGACGAACGGGUGAGUAACACGUGAGUAACCUGCCCUUGACUUUGGGAUAACUUCAGGAAACUGGGGCUAAUACCGGAUAGGAGCUCCUGCUGCAUGGGGGGGGUUGGAAAGUUUCGGCGGUUGGGGAUGGACUCGCGGCUUAUCAGCUUGUUGGUGGGGUAGUGGCUUACCAAGGCUUUGACGGGUAGCCGGCCUGAGAGGGUGACCGGCCACAUUGGGACUGAGAUACGGCCCAGACUCCUACGGGAGGCAGCAGUGGGGAAUAUUGCACAAUGGGCGGAAGCCUGAUGCAGCAACGCCGCGUGCGGGAUGACGGCCUUCGGGUUGUAAACCGCUUUCGCCUGUGACGAAGCGUGAGUGACGGUAAUGGGUAAAGAAGCACCGGCUAACUACGUG